UACGUAGGGUGCGAGCGUUGUCCGGAAUUAUUGGGCGUAAAGGGCUCGUAGGCGGUCUGUCGCGUCGGGAGUGAAAACUCAGGGCUUAACCCUGAGCCUGCUUCCGAUACGGGCAGACUAGAGGUAUGCAGGGGAGAACGGAAUUCCUGGUGUAGCGGUGAAAUGCGUAGAUAUCUGGAAGAACACCGGUGGCGAAGGCGGUCUGCUGGGCAGUUGCUGACACUGAGGCGCGACAGCGUGGGGAGCAAACAGG
rnacentral:rRNA from 1 species